rnacentral:lncRNA from 1 species
CGGGCUGGGACUGCGCGGGUGCUGCGUGAGACUUGACGUGCCUUUUAAGAGAAGAAAGAUGCGUGAAGACUGUCCUGCACUUGGUGCAUUCAUAUGGUUUUUCUCCAGCAGAAACUUUCUUGUGCAGGAACUGAUGAGAAAGAAAUGAGUUCAUUAAAAACCAAGGGAAGGAAUGAUGCCAUCCUCACCUACUGAGGCCAGGUUCCGGAAGGUCUCCAGCAUCACAUCUCUGUAGAGGUCCCUCUGAGCAGAAUCCAGCAAAGCCCACUCCUCCAGGGUGAAGUCCACAGCCACAUCCUCAAAGACCACUGAGUCCUAAGACAAACCACACAGGUGUGCAGGAGGAUUGGAGACACUGAAAGUACUGGGGAACUGGACUCAAUUCAUAAAUUCAAACAAGAUUCUGUGGUGUCCCAACACCUCCUCUAUGACGCGAAUGUUAGAUCUUUUACUUA